rnacentral:lncRNA from 1 species
CCGGUAUAUUAUAGUUGGCAGCAACCACCAUGCUGGAUACAGUUAUAAAGGUCAAGAAUGGGCCAGCAGUACUGCAGUAAUCACAGCAUUUAUUGAAGCUAUGAUGUUAAGAGUGAAGAAAGGAUGGAGACCAGAACGCACUAUUGUUUUCUGCUCAUGGGGAGGAACACCCUGGGGCAAAAUUGGCUCCUAUGAAUGGGGAGAGGAUUUUGUGAAGAUUCUACAAAAAAAUGCUGUGGCUUACAUUGGCCUUCAUAGCCCCAUCCGGGGCAACUCCAGUCUAUAUCCAGUAGUGUCU